rnacentral:rRNA from 1 species
AACGAACGCUGGCGGCAUGCCUAACACAUGCAAGUCGAACGAGACCUUCGGGUCUAGUGGCGCACGGGUGCGUAACGCGUGGGAACCUGCCCUUAGGUUCGGAAUAACUCCCCGAAAGGGGUGCUAAUACCGGAUAAUGUCUUCGGACCAAAGAUUUAUCGCCUUUGGAUGGGCCCGCGUUGGAUUAGCUAGUUGGUAGGGUAAAAGCCUACCAAGGCGACGAUCCAUAGCUGGUCUGAGAGGAUGAUCAGCCACACUGGGACUGAGACACGGCCCAGACUCCUACGGGAGGCAGCAGUGGGGAAUAUUGGACAAUGGGCGAAAGCCUGAUCCAGCAAUGCCGCGUGAGUGAUGAGGGCCUUAGGGUUGUAAAGCUCUUUUACCCGGGAUGAUAAUGACAGUACCGGGAGAAUAAGCUCCGGCUAACUCCGUGC